CCUACGGGAGGCAGCAGUGAGGAAUAUUGGUCAAUGGGCUUACGCCUGAACCAGCCAAGUCGCGUGAGGGAAGACUGCCCUAUGGGUUGUAAACCUCUUUUGUCAGGGAGCAACGCCGGCUACGUGUAGCCGUACUGAGAGUACCUGAAGAAAAAGCAUCGGCUAACUCCGUGCCAGCAGCCGCGGUAAUACGGAGGAUGCGAGCGUUAUCCGGAUUUAUUGGGUUUAAAGGGUGCGUAGGAGGAAUGCCAAGUCAGCGGUAAAAUCGCGGGGCUCAACCUCGCUCCGCCUUUGAAACUGGCGUUCUUGAGGGGGCGAGAAGUAUGCGGAAUGCGUGGUGUAGCGGUGAAAUGCAUAGAUAUCACGCAGAACGCCGAUUGCGAAGGCAGCAUACCGGCGCCCAACUGACGCUGAAGCACGAAAGCGUGGGUAUCGAACAGGAUUAGAUACCCUGGUAGUC
rnacentral:rRNA from 1 species